GGCCUUUCAAUGGUUCAAUCUGAUUUCAAGAAAUGCUCCACGAUCCAUUACGGUUGAAAUCUAAAGCUUGGAGCUUCGGUUCUCAGUUAACCCGACCAAUACGACAAUACCCAAUUACCCAUUUCAAUUUUUCGCCAUUAAAAUUCUAAACCCUAGAAAGAAUCUCAAGCGGGGAUUUGUGUUUGUGUGUGUGUGCGCGAUCGCGCAUUAGCAGAUAGUAUGUUCAAUCGAAGGAGGUUCCUGUCGCUUCCCAUGGUUAUUGGAGCUGUUGUUAUUGGAAUUGUCUCUGGAAAAGCUAUAUUUGGACCUCCUGUGGAUGAAUAUUGGAAGAAAAAGCUCGAGGAAGAAACAGCUAAGAAAGAAAACGACACCGCUUCAUCUUAACAUUUUUCUUUUUAAGGGAAUACAAGAAGUUCAACAAGCAUAAAUUUGUUGAAAGUGUAACAAGAACUAAAAACAUGUAAAUUAAUGAGCUAAGUGUUUAUUUUUCUA